GACGAACGCUGGCGGCGUGCUUAACACAUGCAAGUCGAACGGAAAGGCCCUGCUUUUGUGGGGUGCUCGAGUGGCGAACGGGUGAGUAACACGUGAGUAACCUGCCCUUGACUUUGGGAUAACUUCAGGAAACUGGGGCUAAUACCGGAUAGGAGCUCCUGCUGCAUGGUGGGGGUUGGAAAGUUUCGGCGGUUGGGGAUGGACUCGCGGCUUAUCAGCUUGUUGGUGGGGUAGUGGCUUACCAAGGCUUUGACGGGUAGCCGGCCUGAGAGGGUGACCGGCCACAUUGGGACUGAGAUACGGCCCAGACUCCUACGGGAGGCAGCGGUGGGGAAUAUUGCACAAUGGGCGGAAGCCUGAUGCAGCAACGCCGCGUGCGGGAUGACGGCCUUCGGGUUGUAAACCGCUUUCGCCUGUGACGAAGCGUGAGUGACGGUAAUGGGUAAAGAAGCACCGGCUAACUACGUGCCAGCAGCCGCGGUGAUACGUAGGGUGCGAGCGUUGUCCGGAUUUAUUGGGCGUAAAGGGCUCGUAGGUGGUUGAUCGCGUCGGAAGUGUAAUCUUGGGGCUUAACCCUGAGCGUGCUUUCGAUACGGGUUGACUUGAGGAAGGUAGGGGAGAAUGGAAUUCCUGGUGGAGCGGUGGAAUGCGCAGAUAUCAGGAGGAACACCAGUGGCGAAGGCGGUUCUCUGGGCCUUUCCUGACGCUGAGGAGCGAAAGCGUGGGGAGCGAACAGGCUUAGAUACCCUGGUAGUCCACGCUGUAAACGGUGGGUACUAGGUGUGGGGUCCAUUCCACGGGUUCCGUGCCGUAGCUAACGCUUUAAGUACCCCGCCUGGGGAGUACGGCCGCAAGGCUAAAACUCAAAGGAAUUGACGGGGCCCCGCACAAGCGGCGGAGCAUGCGGAUUAAUUCGAUGCAACGCGUAGAACCUUACCUGGGUUUGACAUGGAUCGGGAGUGCUCAGAGAUGGGUGUGCCUCUUUUGGGGUCGGUUCACAGGUGGUGCAUGGCUGUCGUCAGCUCGUGUCGUGAGAUGUUGGGUUAAGUCCCGCAACGAGCGCAACCCUUGUUCACUGUUGCCAGCACGUUAUGGUGGGGACUCAGUGGAGACCGCCGGGGUCAACUCGGAGGAAGGUGGGGAUGACGUCAAGUCAUCAUGCCCCUUAUGUCCAGGGCUUCACGCAUGCUACAAUGGCUGGUACAGAGAGUGGCGAGCCUGUGAGGGUGAGCGAAUCUCGGAAAGCCGGUCUCAGUUCGGAUUGGGGUCUGCAACUCGACCUCAUGAAGUCGGAGUCGCUAGUGAUCGCAGAUCAGCAACGCUGCGGUGAAUACGUUCCCGGG
rnacentral:rRNA from 1 species